GGCAUAUAAGCUGUAAAAAUAAAUCAUUACAACCUUGAAUUCUAACGUCAUUUAUUACAAUCUUUAGCGAAUAUCCAAUGAAGAUAUAACAACACAUUAGCUCUGGAAAUUAGUGUGGAUAAGAGAGGAUCAUACUAAGAAUUAAGAAGUAACAAUAAAUUUGCGAUGAGAAUAUUGCCAAACCAGACAGGAGGAAGCUAUUCUGAUUUC
rnacentral:lncRNA from 1 species